ACCCGCAGCGGCCCAGAAUGCAACAGGUGUCGGCUAAUAAUAAAGACAGCCUGCGCCUUUAAGAGGCUGAUGGCUCAGGCUAAUAUCUGCUGAACUUUGAGGUGAUUAAGGUGGAGAGUUUGGAACCUGCUGCCUGUCUCUCUUCUACACACACACACACACACACACACACACCCAGGUCGGAUUAAAUUACGCCCUGCGCCUUUAAGAAGCAGUCAGGAGGAUUAGAGUUACUGUCAGAGUCGCGCACCGCAGCGCUUUUGCCGCAGCGAGCAGCGCCGUUUGUCUGCUGGUUCUCCUGCGUGGGUUGGGUCGGGUCGGGUCCACUCCACGCUGCGACAUGGCCGAGCUGGGGAAGGGUGUGACGGCCGGGAAGCUGGCCCUGAACGUCCAGAAGAGGCUGAACCGGGCCCAGGAGAAGGUCCUCCAGAAGCUCGGUAAAGCCGAUGAGACGCGGGACUCCGCCUUCGAGGAGCUGGUGGCUAACUUCAACAAGCAGAUGACUGAAGGCAGCAAGGUGCAGCGAGACCUCAAGGCCUACCUGGCAGCGGUCAAAGCGAUGCACGACGCGUCGCGGCGGCUGCAGGACUGUCUGGCUGACAUGUAUGAACCCGACUGGUUUGGAAAGGAGGAGCUGGACGCUCAGGUGGAGGAGAUGAUAGAGAAGGAGCUGGACAACAACCUGGAGGACACGGACACACUGUGGAUGGACUACCACCAGAACCUGACGGACAAAUCACUGCUGGGCCUCGACACGUACCUGGCUCAGUUCCCAGAGAUCAAGGCUCGCCUAGCGAAGCGCGACAGGAAGCUGGUGGACUUUGACAGCGCCCGCCAUCACUUCGCCUCCUUGCAGAAAGGGAAGAAGAAGGACGAGGCCAAGAUCGCCAAGGCGGAGGAGGAACUGGGCCGGGCUCAGAGGAUCUUUGAGGAGCUGAACGUGGAGCUGCAGGAUGAGCUCCCGGUUCUGUGGGACAGUCGUGUUGGCGUCUAUGUUGGCACAUUCCAGAGCCUGGCAGGACAUCAGGAGAAGUUCCACAGAGAGAUGAGCAAGCUGAGCCACAACCUGAACGACAUCAUGACCAAACUGGAGGAGCAGCAGCAGCUCAAAAAAGACGCCACUGCAGCCGCAAAGAAAGGCGGCUCAAAGAGUGAGGAAGCCAACCACAGCCAGGCCAGCAGCCCGGCUCCAAAGAAGCCCGGCCCGCCGCCCAGCCGGCCUCCUCCCAGACUCUCACCGUCUCCAGACCCAAAGCAGCAGAUCGCCGCCCUGCUGGAGGACGAGGCUGCAGCUCCAGACUCUGACUCAGACCCGACCAGCACAACGCAGCAGCGAGACGAGCGCGGCGCCGAGUCGCUGUCCCAACAGGAUGCAGACCAGGAGGCCCAGAGCGGCUGGGACCACAGCAGCUACCAGAGCCGCUGCCAGCCCAGCUGGGACCACGCCGACCCGGCCGAAGGUCAGGACGCCGGCACCGAGGAGCGGGGACAUGCACAUCAGGCGUUCAGCGAGCCGGACUGGGACGAGGGCGGAGCCGGCGAGGGGCCGGGCGGCUGGGGCGAGGAGGACGAGGAGGAGGUAGAGUUGGGAAAGUAGAGGAAGUAGAUGAACCUCAGGAGACCCUGAUCGGCCCCAGACCUCCUGACCUCCUGACCUCACCGAGCUCUGUGACCAACGGCGCUGAUGCUGA